rnacentral:lncRNA from 1 species
UGAGAAUGUGAGGAAAAUGUGUAUUUAAAAAGCUGGUAUGUCAGUGACAAGCCAAUGUUAGUAUUGUCACUGCAAUCAAUGGAUUAUAAAGUAGCGUAUAUAAUGCAUAUAGGUUUCAGAAUCAGAGACAUCAAGCUUUAAAUCGUGGCCUUCUACAGAGACUCCUGAACCUCAGUUUCUUCAUCUGUAUAAUUGGAAUGCUAGUGCCUGCCUUGAAGGGUUGCUGUGAGAUUUACACGAGAGGAUGUACAGAGAAACAACCAGAAGAGAGAUGGAGAGAACUCUCCUUGGAUCUGACACUCCUGCGCGCGCGGAACAUACUCUGGGGUGCCACAUGGACCAUCUCGCCACCUGCAGAUAUCCCUCUGAUCAGAAGGCCGCAGUUGUCCCAUUUCCUCUGAUUAACUGACACUACACUGAGGAAACACUUAACAUCUUUCCAGAAACCUUGGUCUAUCGUUCUGCAGUUCAUUGCUGGGUUCUGCCCCACACCCUCUUCUGCUUUGACCUGUGUCCACCGCGCACCAGGGUCUCCAGUCUCCUGUGGACAGCGAGUGCAGUCUGACUUUGGUAGAGUGGCCUCAGACUUCAGCGCCUCCCCUUUGUGGAGGUGAGAGAAGAACCUAGGCUCUUAAAAAAAAAUCUGCCCCUUCCUCCAAUCUGUGACCUCCUGCCCCUUUCUCACAAUAACCCAUGUUUUCAUGUUCUACCUCUAAUCUCUAACCCCAUAUUCAUUCACCCUACCUAUUCUUCCCUUAUACCAAAUCUACAACAACGCCCGAAUUUUACCUGCUAUUGUGUCUUUUGAUGCCUAUCCUUUUCAAGGCUUUAGAAUGUUGGGUCUGAAGAACCUGGUUUUAAAUGUUCCCCAAAUCCAUGAAGUCACUAACCCCUGAUGCUCCCUUCAUGGUUUCUCCAAGGUUGCUAUAGUCUGAAUGUUCAUGCCAGCCCCCCAAAUUCAUAUGUUGAAACUUUAACCCCCAAGGUGAUGGUAUCAUGAGGUGGCAUUUUGGUGAAAUGAUUAGGUCAGGAGAGCAGAGCCCUCACGAUCAGGAUUAGGGCCUUAUAAGAGAGACCCCAGAGAGCUAGCUCUCCCUUCCCAUCACAUGAGGACACAGUGAGAAGACAGGUAUCUAUGACUUAGGAAGUAGGCUCUCACCAGACACCAAAUCCGCCAGCACCUUGAUUUUGGACUUCUCUCCAGAACUGCCAGAAAUAAAUUACUGUUGUUUGUAAAUCACCCAUUUUAUGGGAUUUUCUCUGUUGUAGCAGAUGAACAUACUAAGGUAAUAGCUCAACCCACCUUAAAUCCUCUAUCAUCUAAAAAUUUUGACUGCUUUUCACUCCUCCUCUUCUUUC